GUGGUUGACUCAUAUAUCUACUACUAGUAUUAAACAAGCAAACAUAUUCAUCGCUAAGUACACCCAGCCUAACGUACACAUAACAAAACGAAGCGAUUACAACCUCACGAUCAGAACCAUUUAAUUUGAUCUAACCAUUAAAUUAUACUAACCCUCAACGAGAAUUGCGUUUAGCAAUUUGCGUAAGCGGACGAAAACUCUGCCGAACCAACCUUCCGUGCUCCACACCAAUACAUCGCUUCGCUAAUCCAAGGAAAAAAACACAACCUGAUUUGCAAACAGAUACUACCUGAUUGCAUGGUAGCGAUGCGAGCGAUGCGGGGCGGCGGCGACAGCUCAAUGCAGGGAGGCGUGGGCUCCGGCGGGACUUGCGUGGAUCUGGCGGAUGGCAGCCGGAUCGGAUCGACGAUGUGCGGCUCCGGCGAGUCGGAAGGGCGGCGCCGGCGGCUGAGCUCCUCCAUGGACUGCUGCAGUUCCAGGGAGAUAGAGCUUCGAAGGCCUAGCUUUUCGAUUCGGAGCCCCUUCUUCUGGCCUCUUGAGCACCGAUCCCGUCAUCGUUCCUCUUCUUAGACCCCCUUGACGUCCUGCUGCUGCGGUCUCCACGCCGUCCCAGUCUUGGCCCGGCCACCGGGUCUCCUCCCUCUGACCCUCUCUCUAAGGUUUUGAAAGGGAGAAGAGAGGUUGAACCAUGGGGAAGGGGGAAGAGGAAGGCAGCCGCUAAGCCGCCCACUAGGAAGCGGAUGGACAAGCUCGAUAUGGUCUUUUCCUGCCCAUUCUGCAAUGAUAGGAGCAGCGUUGAAUGCCGGAUUGAUAUGGAAACCUGAUUGGUGAGGCUAAUUGUGAAAUCUGACAGGAAAGCUUCAGCAGCCAGCACCACUGCAAAUGGCGGCUUCGGCGAGUUGGAUGGACAACGGCGGCGGCUGAGCUUCUCCAUGGCCUGCUACAGUUCCUAGGAGAGAGAGCUUCGAAGGUGAGAAGAUAUAGAAGAACAGAAGGGAGAGGAGGAAAGGCAGGGGCGUGGCGGCCUUGACGGUGAACCUCGGGUUGCGACGGUCUCCGGCGAGAGGCGGCGUGGGGUGGCGGCGCGAGCCUACAGAGCGGCGGCGGCUUGGAGCUGCGGGAGCUCGGGCGUUUGGAUGCGUUUGGAUCGCAGGCCUAAGGUUAUGCAUAUUGGCAGGUGGUCGCUUUCAUGGUUGGAGUGAGCAGCUUGGCCAGGUACCAUGCGCAACAAUCCCACGGAAUCUACCACCCUUCAUGGCUGCCAGAGCUGGUGUAGUGUUGCGAAGAUGUCGUCAAUUGUGGCGACACAAAUGGUGAGCGACCAAUAAAAAGAAGUAAGAUUGCCGUUGAUGUUCUUGUGCAGGAGUGCUCCGAUUAUUGAUCAAGGGAGCAUUGGUCUGAUUUAAGAGGAGAUUAGUAGCUUAUUUUGUUCACAUAUGUUUAAGAGGGGACCGAGAAAAUUUCUUGCUAAGCU